CUUUUUACACUGUCUGAUAGUGAUAGCACAAGAGGGAACAGCUUUGAACUAAAAGAGGGGCGAUUUACGUUGGAUGUUAGGUGGAGAUUCUUUACUCAGAGAGUGAUUUGGCACUGGAACAGGUUACCCAGAGAAGCUGUGGAUGCCCCAUUGCUGGAGGUGUUCAAGGCCAGGUCGAAUGGAGCCCUGGGCAUACUGAUCUCAUGAGUGGCAAUACUGCCCAUGGCUGGGUGGCUGGAACUAGAUGACAAGCUAAGCCAUUCUAUGAUUCUCUGACUUAACAAGAAGGUGUCCAAUAGAAGGUCUAGGGAGUAAGGUCACUAAGGUUGCACCCAUUCAGUUCCAACUGAAAAGUUACCAGAGGCACUGGUUUAAGUUCAGCCACAGCUGAACUUAAAAAUUGGAGUAGCACAGCUGAAGGGAGACAAGAGUGGAGCAGUCCUGGAGGGGCCUGUGUUACAGGGCAAACAUGCAAUGCUGCAGUUUCCUCUUGACCUUCCAGCCUGUUUAUGUCACUUGAUGUAGUCACCUGUGUUUGGGAGCAGUGUGGAGCUACUGCAUCCAACAAAGAGCAUCAAGAAACAUCAUGACCCUACACACAAUCCACUGCAGGACCAAGCCACCAAUUCUGCACAGCCACCAGUGCUGUCUGGGAUUCAGGAAAACUGAGAAAUCUGAAAAGGCUGAAACUGUUGCCCUGAGGGAGAGGAAAAUGCCCCAGAAGACCAGGAACCCUUCCAUCUAUGCUAAGAGAAUACUUAUUAAAUUAAACAUCUCAUGCCUGCGUAGCAGCAGCUUGUAUCUCUUAAUGUGCAAAAUCCCUGCACAAAGUUAG
rnacentral:lncRNA from 1 species